UGCUUUUGACAUGACACUCGUGUGGGGGCGAGAGGACUAGACAAAAAGAGAACUACAUGCAUGCAUGCAUGUGUAUACAUGAUGAGUUUAAUUAGCCACAAAAUUAUUCGGUAAAUAUAUUAUUUUUGUUUUUUUUUCUUUUUCUUUUUUCCAUUUUUUUCUUUUUCUUUUCGAGAAUAAAAUAAUCAUAUCUGUUGAAUAUAGGCUUCCUAUUUUGUAAUUGGAAAGUAGGAAAUUAGGCAGAAUGUUCAUUUGGGUCAUCCUUAAUAGGUACUUUUUUAAAACGUUGCUAUUUCUGCAAGUGUCUCCAUAUGCAUAUAUU
rnacentral:lncRNA from 1 species